AUUGAACGCUGGCGGCAUGCCUUACACAUGCAAGUCGAACGGCAGCACGGGGGCAACCCUGGUGGCGAGUGGCGAACGGGUGAGUAAUGCAUCGGAACGUGCCCAGUAGUGGGGGAUAACCAGUCGAAAGACUGGCUAAUACCGCAUACGACCUAAGGGUGAAAGCGGGGGACCGUAAGGCCUCGCGCUAUUGGAGCGGCCGAUGUCUGAUUAGCUAGUUGGCGGGGUAAGAGCCCACCAAGGCGACGAUCAGUAGCUGGUCUGAGAGGACGACCAGCCACACUGGGACUGGGACGCGGCCAAGACUCCUACGGGAGGCAUCAGUGGGGAAUUUUGGACAAUGGGCGAAAGCCUGAUCCAGCCAUGCCGCGUGCGGGAAGAAGGCCUUCGGGUUGUAAACCGCUUUUGGCAGGAACGAAACGGCGCAAGCCAAUACCUUGCGCUAAUGACGGUACCUGCAGAAUAAGCACCGGCUAACUACGUGCCAGCAGCCGCCGUAACAC
rnacentral:rRNA from 1 species